AACGAACGCUGGCGGCAUGCCUAACACAUGCAAGUCGAACGAGACCUUCGAGUCUAGUGGCGCACGGGUGCGUAACGCGUGGGAACCUGCCCUUAGGUUCGGAAUAACUCCCCGAAAGGGGUGCUAAUACCGGAUAAUGUCUUCGGACCAAAGAUUUAUCGCCUCUGGAUGGGCCCGCGUUGGAUUAGCUAGUUGGUAGGGUAAAAGCCUACCAAGGCGACGAUCCAUAGCUGGUCUGAGAGGAUGAUCAGCCACACUGGGACUGAGACACGGCCCAGACUCCUACGGGAGGCAGCAGUGGGGAAUAUUGGACAAUGGGCGAAAGCCUGAUCCAGCAAUGCCGCGUGAGUGAUGAAGGCCUUAGGGUUGUAAAGCUCUUUUACCCGGGAUGAUAAUGACAGUACCGGGAGAAUAAGCUCCGGCUAACUCCGUG
rnacentral:rRNA from 1 species